rnacentral:rRNA from 1 species
UACAGAGGUCCAGCAGUUGUUCGGAUUCAUUGGGCGUAAAGGGUGCGUAGGCGGCGCGGUAAGUCGGGUGUGAAAUCUCGGAGCUUAACUCCGAAACUGCAUUCGAUACUGCCGUGCUUGAGGACUGGAGAGGAGACUGGAAUUUACGGUGUAGCGGUGAAAUGCGUAGAUAUCGUGAAGGAAGACCAGUGGCGAAGGCGGGUCUCUGGACAGUUCCUGACGCUGAGGCACGAAGGUCAGGGGAGCAAACGGG